AACGGGUGGCGGCGGUCAACGCCUUUGAGACCUGCCCCACGGCCCCCGGUUGGGCCGUAGCCCUCCUGUCCACGGUGCCCGGUGAACCUGCCCCGAUUUUGGCCCAGGGCACCCUGAGACCGCCAAUUUAAGGACCACAAACGGGAGGAGGGCUUCAGCAGGGGAGCUGGUGCGUCCUGCCGCGUGUUUGAAAACAUGCCUCUGAAACAUAACCCAGAAGGCUAAGCUGUAACAGAUGCCUCUUCCACACACGUCGUCUCACAAAAGCCAGCGCUUUGCGAUGGCUUCUGAGCCAGGGCAGGGUUCUUCGACGCCAGGCGCAACGGCAGAAGAAAUGUCCUCCUGAGAAGACGCUCAGGUUGUGUAAACCAGCGCGGUAACAUUGAUGGAAAUCCAAACGCAUCAGUUUUCAGUCAUUUAACUCUCUUUCAUUUAAGCGGCCAUGUCAGCUUGAGGUCUAACAGGCACCAUGAAGCGCCACGAAGCCAGCAGAAAUCUUUUCCGACUAGCAGCUGGACUGCACGGGUACAGAAAAGCACUUUCAGAGUCUUACAGGACAGACAAGGAGCCAAAGGCCUCUAACAAAUUGGCUUUACUACUUUGGGAAGGAAUGGGUGAAGGCCAUGGGACAGAAG
ensembl:lncRNA